rnacentral:rRNA from 1 species
AUGCAGCAACGCCGCGUGAAGGAUGAAGGCCUUCGGGUUGUAAACUUCUUUUAUGAGUGAAGAAUAUGACGGUAACUCAUGAAUAAGCACCGGCUAACUACGUGCCAGCAGCCGCGGUCAUACGUAGGGUGCAAGCAUUAUCCGGAGUGACUGGGCGUAAAGAGUUGCGUAGGCGGUUUAAUAAGUGAAUAGUGAAACCUGGUGGCUCAACCAUACAGACUAUUAUUCAAACUGUUAAACUCGAGAAUGGUAGAGGUAACUGGAAUUUCUAGUGUAGGAGUGAAAUCCGUAGAUAUUAGAAGGAACACCGAUGGCGUAGGCAGGUUACUGGGCCAUUUCUGACGCUAAGGCACGAAAGCGUGGGGAGCGAACCGGAUUAGAUACCCGGGUAGUCCACGCCGUAAACGAUGGAUACUAGCUGUUGGAGGUAUCGACCCCUUCAGUAGCGAAGCUAACGCGUUAAGUAUCCCGCCUGUGGAGUACGGCCGCAAGGCUAAAACAUAAAGGAAUUGACGGGGACCCGCACAAGCGGUGGAUUAUGUUCUUUAAUUCGAUGAUAACCGAAGAACCUUACCAGGGCUUGACAUCCAGGGAAGGUCUGCGAAAGUAGACUGUGCCUUUUGGAACCCUGUGACAGGUGAUGCAUGGCCGUCGUCAGCUCGUGUCGUGAGAUGUUAGGUUAAGUCCUUCAACGAGCGCAACCCUUGUGAAUAGUUGUAUUUUUCUAUUCAGACUGCCCCGGUAACGGGGAGGAAGGAGGGGAUGAUGUCAGGUCAGUAUUUCCCUUACGUCCUGGGCUAGAAACGUAAUACAAUGGCUAGUACAAUGCGCAGCGAAGCCGCGAGGUGAAGCAAAUCGCAUCAAAGCUAGUCCCAGUUCGGAUUGUAGGCUGAAACUCGCCUGCAUGAAGUCGGAAUCGCUAGUAAUCGCAAAUCAGCAAGUUGCGGUGAAUACGUUCCCGGGUCUUGUACACACCGCCCGUCAAACCAUGAAAGUGACCAACACCCGAAGUCCGAUUCGUCGGCCUAAGGUGGGGGGCAUGAUUGGGGUUAAGUCGUAACAAGGUAUCCGUACCGGAAGGUGCGGAUG